rnacentral:lncRNA from 1 species
UACAGGUGUGACACAAUAGGGCACAGACCCGAGCAUGACACAGGUGGUGCCAGCUGCCGAGUCAGGUUUCAUGGUUGUGAAGAGGAAAGUAAAGGUGAUGUUCAGCUCGUCUCCCUGAAGACUGUCCAUCUGAAUUAGGAACGGGAAGUCCUUCCUGUGACUCCACUGAAAGAUAUCAGGACUGUGUCCUUGUUGGAGCACAGCCACGUGAAGAUCCGCUCAUUGGCCUACAUCGUAUAGUUUAUCCAAGACGAGUUUACACUUAAACACCCAGCAAGGGGGAUCUCAGAAGAGCACUUAUGAAAUAGACUGAAAUUUAAUGAUAGAUCUUCUUGGGUAGGUGGACUAUCAAGGCACUCAUAAAAUAACAGGGUUCAAAGAAUAAAAAGGUGGGUGUUUUGGUACGUGAGCCCCUUCAGCCUGGUACAUGGAGGGUGCCCAGGUGGUACUGAAUAAAGGGAAAGGUCUGGAAGAGGAAGGACGAAGCAAUUCAGCUGUCAUUCUGGAGACUCUCUUGUAAGACUGCAAACAAGUCUAACAUCAUCAUUAACAGAAUUUAAUACAGAAAGCUUCCAAGAGAGAAACUCCCAAGUCCCCCCUUUAUGACCAAAUUUCUCAGAGGCUCAGUGGAUCUAAAUUUAAACUCCACAGGAAACAGGACCCUUUGCCUCAAGGCACUAAAGGUAACACAUUUCUAUAAGAGGGCCGUCUGCUUAGCCUGUCUCCUUUGGUAUCAAGGGUCUUGAAUUCAAAAAGGAUCAAUAAAAAAAAAAAAAGCACAGAGUUCCUUUUGUGUGCCACUCGCUAUUAACAAAGGAGAAAAAUGUGUGAUUGUCAAUGAGAAUUUGACAACUCAUUUUAACUAAUACCAGUUGAAUUCCCAGAGCUAGAGACUGACCUGGGGUUGGGGGUGACAAGGGUGUGCAGGUAAGACUAGGGACACCCUUUGUUCAGACCAUCAGAACACACACCAGAAAGACCAGGGGGCCUCACCUCAGGGCUACCAUUUCCUCAGAGUCCAUGGUCCUAACCCAGCCUAAGUUUGAUCCACCCUGUGGCUUUUGAUGAAUUCUCAGCUGUUGGUUUCAUACUGCAUUAAUGUAAGGACUUCAUUUCCUACACAUUCACUUGAAACGAGCAAUUAAACUUUUCUUUGUUGUUUA